rnacentral:rRNA from 1 species
AUUGAACGCUGGCGGCAGGCUUAACACAUGCAAGUCGAACGAGCGGCGGACGGGUGAGUAAUGUCUGGGAAACUGCCUGAUGGAGGGGGAUAACUACUGGAAACGGUAGCUAAUACCGCAUACCAUCAGAUGUGCCCAGAGGGGAUUAGCUGGUAGGUGGGGUAAUGGCGCACCGAGGCGACGAUCCCUAGCUGGUCGGAGAGGAUGACCAGCUAACCUGGAACUGAGACACGGUCCAGACUCCGAGGGGAGGAAGCAGUGGGGAAUAGUGCACAAUGGGCGCAAGCCUGAUGCAGCCAUGCCGCGUGUAUGAAGAAGGCCUUCGGGUUGUAAAGUACUUUCAGCGGGGAGGCGUUACCCGCAGAAGAAGCACCGGCUAACUCCGUGCCAGCAGCCGCGGUAAUUC